rnacentral:rRNA from 1 species
UACGUAGGAGGCGAGCGUUGUCCGGAAUUACUGGGUGUAAAGCGCGCGUAGGUGGCAGGCCAAGUCUGCUGUGAAAUCGCCCGGCUCAACUGGGCGGGGUCAGCGGAUACGGUGUGGCUCGAGCAAGCUAGGGGGCAAUGGAAUUCCCGGUGUAGCGGUGAAAUGCGCAGAUAUCGGGAGGAACACCAAUGGCGAAGGCAGCUCGCUGGGACGGUACUGACGCUGAGACGCGAAAGCGGUGGGGAGCAAACAGG